GAUUUCAACUGAAAAAGUCAUCAACAACAAAGUUGUAAAACUCAUCAAUAUCUAUAACUUUUAUUUUGGUCAUUUCUUCAUCCGAUAAAGCGACAGUAAUAUUGUUCACAAAAUGUAGAUACCUAUAAAAAUAUCUAUAUUUUGUGAACAAUGUUACAAAUCACUUUGUCGGAUGAACAAAUGACCAAAAUAAAAAUUGUAGAUCUAGAUGGAUUAUACAACUUUGUUGUUAAUGACGUUUUCAGUUGAAGUC
rnacentral:pre_miRNA from 1 species